rnacentral:rRNA from 1 species
GGGUUGUGAGGUUAAGCGACUAAGCGUACACGGUGGAUGCCCUGGCAGUCAGAGGCGAUGAAGGACGUGCUAAUCUGCGAUAAGCGUCGGUAAGGUGAUAUGAACCGUUAUAACCGGCGAUUUCCGAAUGGGGAAACCCAGUGUGUUUCGACACACUAUCAUUAACUGAAUCCAUAGGUUAAUGAGGCGAACCGGGGGAACUGAAACAUCUAAGUACCCCGAGGAAAAGAAAUCAACCGAGAUUCCCCCAGUAGCGGCGAGCGAACGGGGAGCAGCCCAGAGCCUGAAUCAGUGUGUGUGUUAGUGGAAGCGUCUGGAAAGGCGCGCGAUACAGGGUGACAGCCCCGUACACAAAAAUGCACAUGCUGUGAGCUCGAUGAGUAGGGCGGGACACGUGGUAUCCUGUCUGAAUAUGGGGGGACCAUCCUCCAAGGCUAAAUACUCCUGACUGACCGAUAGUGAACCAGUACCGUGAGGGAAAGGCGAAAAGAACCCCGGCGAGGGGAGUGAAAAAGAACCUGAAACCGUGUACGUACAAGCAGUGGGAGCACGCUUCGGCGUGUGACUGCGUACCUUUUGUAUAAUGGGUCAGCGACUUAUAUUCUGUAGCAAGGUUAACCGAAUAGGGGAGCCGAAGGGAAACCGAGUCUUAACUGGGCGUUAAGUUGCAGGGUAUAGACCCGAAACCCGGUGAUCUAGCCAUGGGCAGGUUGAAGGUUGGGUAACACUAACUGGAGGACCGAACCGACUAAUGUUGAAAAAUUAGCGGAUGACUUGUGGCUGGGGGUGAAAGGCCAAUCAAACCGGGAGAUAGCUGGUUCUCCCCGAAAGCUAUUUAGGUAGCGCCUCGUGAAUUCAUCUCCGGGGGUAGAGCACUGUUUCGGCAAGGGGGUCAUCCCGACUUACCAACCCGAUGCAAACUGCGAAUACCGGAGAAUGUUAUCACGGGAGACACACGGCGGGUGCUAACGUCCGUCGUGAAGAGGGAAACAACCCAGACCGCCAGCUAAGGUCCCAAAGUCAUGGUUAAGUGGGAAACGAUGUGGGAAGGCCCAGACAGCCAGGAUGUUGGCUUAGAAGCAGCCAUCAUUUAAAGAAAGCGUAAUAGCUCACUGGUCGAGUCGGCCUGCGCGGAAGAUGUAACGGGGCUAAACCAUGCACCGAAGCUGCGGCAGCGACGCUGAUGCGUUGUUGGGUAGGGGAGCGUUCUGUAAGCCUGCGAAGGUGUGCUGUGAGGCAUGCUGGAGGUAUCAGAAGUGCGAAUGCUGACAUAAGUAACGAUAAAGCGGGUGAAAAGCCCGCUCGCCGGAAGACCAAGGGUUCCUGUCCAACGUUAAUCGGGGCAGGGUGAGUCGACCCCUAAGGCGAGGCCGAAAGGCGUAGUCGAUGGGAAACAGGUUAAUAUUCCUGUACUUGGUGUUACUGCGAAGGGGGGACGGAGAAGGCUAUGUUGGCCGGGCGACGGUUGUCCCGGUUUAAGCGUGUAGGCUGGUUUUCCAGGCAAAUCCGGAAAAUCAAGGCUGAGGCGUGAUGACGAGGCACUACGGUGCUGAAGCAACAAAUGCCCUGCUUCCAGGAAAAGCCUCUAAGCAUCAGGUAACAUCAAAUCGUACCCCAAACCGACACAGGUGGUCAGGUAGAGAAUACCAAGGCGCUUGAGAGAACUCGGGUGAAGGAACUAGGCAAAAUGGUGCCGUAACUUCGGGAGAAGGCACGCUGAUAUGUAGGUGAAGUCCCUCGCGGAUGGAGCUGAAAUCAGUCGAAGAUACCAGCUGGCUGCAACUGUUUAUUAAAAACACAGCACUGUGCAAACACGAAAGUGGACGUAUACGGUGUGACGCCUGCCCGGUGCCGGAAGGUUAAUUGAUGGGGUCAGCGCAAGCGAAGCUCUUGAUCGAAGCCCCGGUAAACGGCGGCCGUAACUAUAACGGUCCUAAGGUAGCGAAAUUCCUUGUCGGGUAAGUUCCGACCUGCACGAAUGGCGUAAUGAUGGCCAGGCUGUCUCCACCCGAGACUCAGUGAAAUUGAACUCGCUGUGAAGAUGCAGUGUACCCGCGGCAAGACGGAAAGACCCCGUGAACCUUUACUAUAGCUUGACACUGAACAUUGAGCCUUGAUGUGUAGGAUAGGUGGGAGGCUUUGAAGUGUGGACGCCAGUCUGCAUGGAGCCGACCUUGAAAUACCACCCUUUAAUGUUUGAUGUUCUAACGUUGACCCCUAAUCGGGGUUGCGGACAGUGUCUGGUGGGUAGUUUGACUGGGGCGGUCUCCUCCUAAAGAGUAACGGAGGAGCACGAAGGUUGGCUAAUCCUGGUCGGACAUCAGGAGGUUAGUGCAAUGGCAUAAGCCAGCUUGACUGCGAGCGUGACGGCGCGAGCAGGUGCGAAAGCAGGUCAUAGUGAUCCGGUGGUUCUGAAUGGAAGGGCCAUCGCUCAACGGAUAAAAGGUACUCCGGGGAUAACAGGCUGAUACCGCCCAAGAGUUCAUAUCGACGGCGGUGUUUGGCACCUCGAUGUCGGCUCAUCACAUCCUGGGGCUGAAGUAGGUCCCAAGGGUAUGGCUGUUCGCCAUUUAAAGUGGUACGCGAGCUGGGUUUAGAACGUCGUGAGACAGUUCGGUCCCUAUCUGCCGUGGGCGCUGGAGAACUGAGGGGGGCUGCUCCUAGUACGAGAGGACCGGAGUGGACGCAUCACUGGUGUUCGGGUUGUCAUGCCAAUGGCACUGCCCGGUAGCUAAAUGCGGAAGAGAUAAGUGCUGAAAGCAUCUAAGCACGAAACUUGCCCCGAGAUGAGUUCUCCCUGACUCCUUGAGAGUCCUGAAGGAACGUUGAAGACGACGACGUUGAUAGGCCGGGUGUGUAAGCGCAGCGAUGCGUUGAGCUAACCGGUACUAAUGAACCGUGAGGCUUAACCUUACAACGCCGAAG